CCCAGGCUGACUGACACUCUUUCCCUGUUGCACUACUGUGGCACAAUAAAUAUAAGCAGUGCAAUGAUGAAAGGGCAUUAGUCUGACCCUGACUUCUAAGUUUGCCCAGAACCUAGAGUACCCACCGAAAGGACAACUCCUCCAAGCUGACAACAUACACCAUAUGCUGGCAAAUACUGUUCCACGUCUUCUGAAUACACUUUCUACAAACCAUUUAUAGUGCUGUGAACACCAGCAACCGUUGGUUAAUUCGUGUAUUGGUUGAUUGUAUUAAUGUUAAUUUAUGUAAAACCCAACUGGAUAAGAGGGUUGUAUUGGAAAUAUAAAAUAAAGUGCGAGCUUAAAAUUUCAA